rnacentral:lncRNA from 1 species
GCUAUAGGAGAAAUUUCUGCCUUCUGAAUGUGUCCAACUAGCUCUGUUCACCUGAGAAAUCACAUUCCCCAGCUCUGGGUAUCCCUGAAUAACCACAGGAGAACAGUUCCAGGCCCUGAUAAGUCAGCUAUUGCAAGGGGGACCUGGCUGGAAGAUAUGAAGGAAAAAUAUCAUUCUUGAACUAAUAAGUUGAGAGAUCACAGCCUUCAGGGGACCAGAAGGGAAGGCUGAACAGGGAAGGGCAAUUUCACGUUCGCCAUGUCCAUAUUUCUAUCGUCAUGAGCCAUCUCACCUUACAGGCAGGGAAGUUUUGAGCUUAGAGAAUGGGAUGCGUCAAGAAAACCGUGGCUCCCCCAGCUCUGUUCCUGGAUUCAGUGCCUGUUGUUUCAUCCUGUGUAGACUGGAGUCAGGGUCUACACAGUUGGAAUUCUAUGGAACCAAGAUGCUGUGUGGCAGAUGGAUGUGGACUCCAACUGUGACAAUCCAGAAGGCCUUGGGGACUUGUUUCAUGAACAGCUCCCUGUAGGAUCUCUGUUGGGGUGGGGGAUUCUAGGGGCAUCUCCGCAGUUUUCUUCUGAAAACAAAACGAAUACCAGUUGGGCAGGUGCAACAACUGUGCAUGCAGUCCCCUCCCAGGGCUGGCUAGCAGUAUUGUUGGGUACCGUAAGCACUUAGCAUUGUUAAGUGAGCAUAAGUAACAAGAUGCAACAGCCUCUGGCCAAGUUUUGAAGAUUUUGUUUUAAAGUAUGCUUUUAGAUGUUGACAUUCAUGAUUAUUAAAAGGAACAAAACUCAAUUUGGGGUCUCAAGAGCCACAAUUCUAGACUUCUAGGAUGUCAGGAGCCAUGCUCUUAAGCUUCUCACCCUGCUGUUUUAAUGAGAUUAAUGAUUAUUUUCCACUGAGCACCUACCUGUGAUGUUCAUAAAAAAGUGAAAUAAAUGACUCACAUGGAGAUUUGGAAGGAUAUCACUGUGGAAAGUAGAUGUUAACAGCCUCUAGAAAUAUGAUAAUUAUCAGCUAUUUGAGAUGCAGUCACUGUAAUGUGAUAACAAGAUGUGUUGUGCAGGUAGAAAGCAUGGAGAGAAAUGGCACGAAGUAGUUAUAAGAAAAAA